UUUUUUUUUUUUUAUUUUUCUUUUCCUCUGGUUUCAAAUGUUUUUAAAUUGCUGUGGUAUUUUGACUAUACAAAGGUAUUGAAAUAAGAUUUUAAUUGAAUGCUAAGAGAAUGGAAGUCCAGAAAAAAACUUUUUUUAAAUUAAAAAUUGAAGUUUUUUUAAUUUGUGCAGAAACAAUUAUUUAUAUUAAAGACAAGAAGACCCUAUGAAUUUAUUAAAUUUUUAUUUAAUAUGUAAUUACUAUUAGAAAAAUUUUGGCUGGGGCGGCUAGAAAAUAUUAUGAACUUUUUAAAAAUAAAAUGAUCCAUUAUUAAUGAUUUUAUGUUAAAUACUCUAGGGAUAACAGCGUUAUAUUUUUUGAUAGAUCAUAUUGACAAAAAAGUUUGCGACCUCGAUGUUGGAUUAGGAUACUUUUUUAAUGAAGAUAUAAAAAAAGAAGUUGUCACGAUC
rnacentral:rRNA from 1 species